GAUGAACGCUGGCGGCGUGCCUAAUACAUGCAAGUCGAGCGAACCCAUCAGGAGCUUGCUCCCCUGACGUUAUCGGCGGACGGGUGAUUAACACGUGGAUAACCUACCUAUAAGACUGGGAUAACUUCGGCAAACCGUAUCUACUACCGGAUAAUAUAUUGAACUUCAUGGUUCAAUAGUUAAAGACGGUUUUGCUUUCACUUAUAGAUUGAUCCGCGCCGCAUUAGCUAGUGGGUAAGGUAACGGCUUACCAAGGCAGCGAUGCGUAGCCGACCCGAGAGGGUGAUCCGCCAGCCUGGAACUGAGGAACGGCCCAGACACUGACGGGAGGCAGCAGUAGGGAAUCUUACGCGAUGGACGAAUGCGUGACGGAGCAACGCCGGGUGAGGGAUGAAGGUCUUCGGAUGGUAAAACGAUGUAAUUAGGGAAGAACAAAAGUGUAAGUACCUAUGCUCGUCUUGACAGUACCUAAACAGAAAGCCACGGCUAACUACGUG
rnacentral:rRNA from 1 species